rnacentral:rRNA from 1 species
AAAUUGAAGAGUUUGAUCAUGGCUCAGAUUGAACGCUGGCGGCAGGCCUAACACAUGCAAGUCGAACGGUAACAGAAAGCAGCUUGCUGCUUUGCUGACGAGUGGCGGACGGGUGAGUAAUGUCUGGGAAACUGCCUGAUGGAGGGGGAUAACUACUGGAAACGGUAGCUAAUACCGCAUAACGUCGCAAGACCAAAGAGGGGGACCUUCGGGCCUCUUGCCAUCGGAUGUGCCCAGAUGGGAUUAGCUUGUUGGUGGGGUAACGGCUCACCAAGGCGACGAUCUCUAGCUGGUCUGAGAGGAUGACCAGCCACACUGGAACUGAGACACGGUCCAGACUCCUACGGGAGGCAGCAGUGGGGAAUAUUGCACAAUGGGCGCAAGCCUGAUGCAGCCAUGCCGCGUGUAUGAAGAAGGCCUUCGGGUUGUAAAGUACUUUCAGCGGGGAGGAAGGGAGUAAAGUUAAUACCUUUGCUCAUUGACGUUACCCGCAGAAGAAGCACCGGCUAACUCCGUGCCAGCAGCCGCGGUAAUACGGAGGGUGCAAGCGUUAAUCGGAAUUACUGGGCGUAAAGCGCACGCAGGCGGUUUGUUAAGUCAGAUGUGAAAUCCCCGGGCUCAACCUGGGAACUGCAUCUGAUACUGGCAAGCUUGAGUCUCGUAGAGGGGGGUAGAAUUCCAGGUGUAGCGGUGAAAUGCAUAGAGAUCUGGAGGAAUACCGGUGGCGAAGGC